rnacentral:rRNA from 1 species
CCUACGGGAGGCAGCAGUGGGGAAUAUUGGACAAUGGGGGCAACCCUGAUCCAGCCAUGCCGCGUGUGUGAAGAAGGCCCUCGGGUUGUAAAGCACUUUCAGUGAGGAAGAACGCCUGGUGGUUAAUACCCAUCAGGAAAGACAUCACUCACAGAAGAAGCACCGGCUAACUCCGUGCCAGCAGCCGCGGUAAUACGGAGGGUGCGAGCGUGAAUCGGAAUUACUGGGCGUAAAGCGCGCGUAGGUGGCUUGAUAAGCCGGUUGUGAAAGCCCCGGGCUCAACCUGGGAACGGCAUCCGGAACUGUCCAGCUAGAGUGCAGGAGAGGAAGGUAGAAUUCCCGGUGUAGCGGUGAAAUGCGUAGAGAUCGGGAGGAAUACCAGUGGCGAAGGCGGCCUUCUGGACUGACACUGACACUGAGGUGCGAAAGCGUGGGUAGCAAACAGGAUUAGAUACCCUGGUAGUC